GUUCUUCAAGCUCUUUUCAAGUCUGUGAAGGCUCAUAGAGGAUCUACUUCAUGGACCUGGGAUUGGUGAGAUAGCUCUUGAAUCUCUACCUUUGAACUACCAUAAAAAUAUUGGGAAGGCAGAAUCAAGAUGGUGACUUAGAAGCUAUGAAAUUCAAGUCCUCUGUGAAAACUCUUCCACACCAAUCAAAAACAAAGUGUUUCUAGGAGGACACAAAACCAAAUAAAACAAGAAGACAGAGCUGGGGAACAUUCUUGCUUCAUUCAACUUAAAGAUCCUUCAGGAAAAGCAUAUGCCAAGUCCUUCACUCUUUGA
rnacentral:lncRNA from 1 species